rnacentral:rRNA from 1 species
AUUGAACGCUGGCGGCAGGCUUAACACAUGCAAGUCGAGCGAGCGGCGGACGGGUGAGUAAUGUCUGGGAAACUGCCUGAUGGAGGGGGAUAACUACUGGAAACGGUAGCUAAUACCGCAUACCAUCGGAUGUGCCCAGAUGGGAUUCGCUAGUAGGUGGGGUAACGGCUCACCUAGGCGACGAUCACUCGCUGGGCUGAGAGGAGGACCGCCCACACGGGAAGUGAGACACAUGGCAGACUCCUAAGGUGGGUAGCAUUGGUGAAUAUUGCACAAUGGGCGCAAGCCUGAUGCAGCCAUGCCGCGUGUAUGAAGAAGGCCUUCGGGUUGUAAAGUACUGUCAGCUAGGAGGCGUUACUCGCAGAAGAAGCACCGGCUAACUCCGUGCCAGCAGCCGCGGUAAUAC